rnacentral:misc_RNA from 1 species
AACAUCGCGCACCUGCGGGAACCUGCGGAAGGAUCAUUACCGAGUGUGAACCCCCCCGUAAAAAAGAGGGGUUACCUCCCGUCCUUUGCUGGGAACCCCUUUCCAACUUGGAAGGAGGUUGUUUUCAGACCCUUCUGCUUCGGUGGGGUAACCCACCGGAACAACCUCAAAAAUAUUCUCAAUUCAAAACCGUUCAGUCCGAGAACUUUUUUGAAAAGCGAAAAAACUUUUAGCAAUGGA